AUGUGCAGGCAGGUGUAG
rnacentral:misc_RNA from 1 species